UAUUAGGUGGCUGAGUGGUGAUGGCGAUGGGCUGCUCAUCUAUUGUGCUCUCCAUGAGUGGGUUUGAAUCCCAUUCUCAUCA
rnacentral:tRNA from 1 species